GGGCUGGGCUCAGCGGUAGAGUGCUCACCUAUUAUGUGCAAGGCCCUGGGUUUGAUUCUCAGCACCACA
rnacentral:tRNA from 1 species